rnacentral:lncRNA from 1 species
GGAAGUCCGAAAUCAAGGUACCAGCAGGAUUUUUAUGAACUUGUGAGGAAUGCUCUACUUCCAAGAUGUGUGGAAUGGUGGAAGACAAACAUUCAGGAUCUUGGCUAGAGAAAACCUGUGGGAGGAAGAUAUUUCAGCUAAGACAUAAAAGGUGUGAAAGCACUAGCCAAGAGGAAACAUGUGGAGGAAGGGAAUGGUUAGAGAAAAAGACAUUCGGAUCAAUGGCAGCAUGUAUGAAGGUCCUGAGUGGUCCUAGUUCACCUCCUCAGCUGUGCUGAUGUCAUGAAAACCAGCCUUGACCUCACAAACUACCCCUUGAUGAUGCUGACCGCUGGACUACUAAUAUCCAACUGCCUGUGUCAUUUCUUCAUCUUUCCUUGGUGCCAACCAUGCCUGCAUAUCAGGGCAGCAUUCUAUGAUCCCAUGGCUCUCACAUCGACAGACCACAACACUAAGGUUAAAAGGAACAAAAGAAAACUCCAAAUCACAAGUAACAGACUCUUUUAUGGUUGGCCAAUAGACAGACCGGAUUGGGAAAUUCUUUUACACGGCAUCCAGUGAUUUCCAAAAACAAUUUAAUUUCAAACAACGAUCCUUCCAGAUAUGACAUUUGGGAAGAAUUGUUUAAAAACACCAGAAGUAAAUGUGAAAUACCAGUGGUUUCUAGACAAUCAAACUCUGCAAUUGUUAAGAAGCAACUGGAAUCAGACAGACCUGGAUUCAGAUCAUAGAUGCACAGUUAAAUCAAAUACCUUUGAACAAGUUACUUAACCUCCCCAAGCCUCAGUUUCUACCAUAAGAGGUUGGAAUGAGAGGAUGACUGCAAAGGACCUGGGAUGGUGCCUAACAAAACUUUAUCUGUCAGCUUCUCCCUGCCACUUCACAGGAGACCCAACUCUCUGCAACAGAAACCAGCUUUUCCACUUAGUAAUCACUGUGUGCUUUAGUUUCCUGGUUUAUAAAAUAGGGGCAUUGAGCUCUGCCCAGAGGGUUAUUAUGAGAACAAAUGAAAUAAAGCAUGUAAAGUGUUUAGUA